rnacentral:tRNA from 1 species
AUCAGAGUGGCGCGCAGCGGAAGCGUGGUGGGCCAUAACCCCACAGUCCCAGGAUCGAAAACCUGGCUCUGAUA